GACGAACGCUGGCGGCGUGCUUAACACAUGCAAGUCGAACGAAGAGCGAUGGAAGCUUGCUUCUAUCAAUCUUAGUGGCGAACGGGUGAGUAACGCGUAAUCAACCUGCCCUUCAGAGGGGGACAACAGUUGGAAACGACUGCUAAUACCGCAUACGAUCUAACCUCGGCAUCGGGGAAAGAUGAAAGGUGGCCUCUAUGUAUAAGCUAUCACUGAAGGAGGGGAUUGCGUCUGAUUAGCUAGUUGGAGGGGUAACGGCCCACCAAGGCGAUGAUCAGUAGCCGGUCUGAGAGGAUGAACGGCCACAUUGGGACUGAGACACGGCCCAGACUCCUACGGGAGGCAGCAGUGGGGAAUCUUCCGCAAUGGACGAAAGUCUGACGGAGCAACGCCGCGUGAGUGAUGACGGCCUUCGGGUUGUAAAGCUCUGUUAAUCGGGACGAAA
rnacentral:rRNA from 1 species